AUUGAACGCUGGCGGCAGGCUUAACACAUGCAAGUCGAGCGAGCGGCGGACGGGUGAGUAAUGUCUGGGAGACUGCCUGAUGGAGGGGGAUAACUACUGGAAACGGUAGCUAAUACCGCAUACCAUCAGAUGUGCCCAGAUGGGAUUAGCUAGUGGGUGGGGUAAUGGCUCACCUAGGCGACGAUCCCUAGCUGGUCUGAGAGGAUGACAAGGCACACUGGAACUGAGACACGGUCCAGACUACUACGGGAGGCAGCAGUGGGGAAUAUUGCACAAUGGGAGCAAGCCUGAUGCAGCCAUGCCGAGUGGAUGAAGAAGGCAAUCGGGUUGUAGAGUACUUUCAGCGAGGAGGCGUUACUCGCAGAAGAAGCACCGGCUAACUCCGUGCCAGCAGCCGCGGUAAUAC
rnacentral:rRNA from 1 species